UACUUGGUGUGAAUUGCAGAAUCCCGUGAACCAUCGAGUCUUUGAACGCAAGUAGCGCCCGAAGCCAUUAGGCCGAGGCACGUCUGCCUGGGCGUCACGCAUCGCGUCGCCACCCACCAUCGUUGUGAUGGGUGGCGGAUGUUGGCCUCCCGUGCUGCAAGGUGCGGCCGGCCUAAAUGCGAGUCCUCGGCGAGAGACGUCACGACUAGUGGUGGUUGAAUUCCUCAACUCGAGUCCUGUCGUGUCGAUGCCCCUCGCCAUCAUCGGGCUCUCAUGACCCUAUAGCGUGCUCACAAGGGCACACCUCGACCGCACCCCAGGUCA
rnacentral:rRNA from 1 species